rnacentral:rRNA from 1 species
GACGAACGCUGGCGGCGUGCUUAACACAUGCAAGUCGAACGGAAAGGCCCUGCUUUUGUGGGGUGCUCGAGUGGCGAACGGGUGAGUAACACGUGAGUAACCUGCCCUUGACUUUGUGAUAACUUCAGGAAACUGGGGCUAAUACCGGAUAGGAGCUCCUGCUGCAUGGUGUGGGUUGGAAAGUUUCGGCGGUUGGGGCUGGACUCGCGGCUUAUCAGCUUGUUGGUGUGGUAGUGGCUUACCAAGGCUUUGACGGGUAGCCGGCCUGGGAGGGUGACCGGGCACAUUAGGACUGAGAUACGGACCAGAAUCCUACGUGAGGCAGCAGUGGGGAAUAUUGCACAAUGGGCGGAAGCCUGAUGCAGCAGCGCCGCGUGCGGGAUGACGGCCUUCGGGUUGUAAACCGCUGUCGACGGUGACGAAGCGUGAGUGACGGUAAUGGGUAAAGAAGCACCGGCUAACUACGUG